GUCCAGCUGACAAGUCCCAAAAAAGACGAAACGGACGUCCUAGAU
rfam:Schistosoma mansoni strain Puerto Rico chromosome 2, complete genome